rnacentral:rRNA from 1 species
CUUAAUGAGAGUUUGAUCCUAGCUCAGGGUGAAUGGUGGCGGCGUGGAUGAGUCAUGCAAGUCAAGGGGGCCCGCAAGGGCAACCGGCAAACGAGGUAGUAACACGUAGGUAGAUCCCCCGGAGUCGGGCAUAGCUUGCCGAAAGGCAAGGUAAUUCCCGAUAGUCUCGCAAGAGUAAAGUUUUUCGCUCCGGGAGUCGCCUGCGCAGUAUCAGCUAGUUGGUAGGGUAACGGCCUACCAAGGCUACGACGCUUAGGGGAGCUGAGAGGCUGACCCCCACCGAUGGGACUGCGACACGGCCCAUACUCCUACGGGAGGCUGCAGACGAGAAUAUUCCGC